CAGCAACUGACCAGGUGAACACC
rnacentral:miRNA from 1 species